UACAGAGGGUGCAAGCGUUUAAUCGGAAUUACUGGGCGUAAAGCGCGCGUAGGUGGUUUGUUAAGUUGGAUGUGAAAGCCCCGGGCUCAACCUGGGAACUGCAUUCAAAACUGACAAGCUAGAGUAUGGUAGAGGGUGGUGGAAUUUCCUGUGUAGCGGUGAAAUGCGUAGAUAUAGGAAGGAACACCAGUGGCGAAGGCGACCACCUGGACUGAUACUGACACUGAGGUGCGAAAGCGUGGGGAGCAAACAGG
rnacentral:rRNA from 1 species